rnacentral:lncRNA from 1 species
CCGGGCAGUGGGAGGCUGGGAGUCUCUCUGGAAGGAGGCCGGGCAGUGGGAGGCUGGGAGUCUCUCUGGAAGGAGGCCGGGCACUGGGAGGCUGGGAGUCUCUCUGGAAGGAGGCUGGGCACUGGGAGUCUCUCUGGGAGGAGGCCGGGCAGUGGGAGGCUGGGAGUCUCUCUGGAAGGAGGCUGGGCACUGGGAGGCUGGGAGUCUCUCUGGAAGGAGGCUGGGCACUGGGAGUCUCUCUGGGAGGAGGCCGGGCAGUGGGAGGCUGGGAGUCUCUCUGGAAGGAGGCUGGGCACUGGGAGGCUGGGAGGCUCUCUGGAAGGAGGCUGGGCACUGGGAGUCUCU